rnacentral:rRNA from 1 species
AGCCAUGCGAGUCGAGAGGGUUCGGCCCUCGGCAGACGGCUCAGUAACACGUGGAUAACCUGCCCUCAGGUAGGGGAUAAUCUCGGGAAACUGAGGAUAAUACCCUAUAGACAUCCUUUGCUGGAAUGCCUGGAUGUUCAAAGGCGACGCCUGAGGAUGGGUCUGCGGCCUAUCAGGUUGUAGUGGGUGUAACGGACCCACUAGCCCACGACGGGUACGGGCCUUGGAAGAGGUAGCCCGGAGAUGGACUCUGAGACACGAGUCCAGGCCCUACGGGGCGCAGCAGGCGCGAAAACUUCGCAAUGCGGGAAACCGUGACGAGGGAAUCCCGAGUGCUCAUACAAUGUAUGGGCUUUUCUGAUGUGUAAAUAACUUUAGGAAUAAGGGCUGGGUAAGACCGGUGCCAGCCGCCGCGGUAAUACCGGCAGCUCUAGUGGUAGCCACUUUUAUUGGGCCUAAAGCGUCCGUAGCCGGUCAGGUAAAUCCUUGGGUAAAUCGUACAGCUUAACUGUACGGCUUCCGGGGAGACUGCUUGACUUGGGACCGGGAGAGGUUGGAGGUACUCCUGGGGUAGGGGUGAAAUCCUGUAAUCCUAGGUGGACCACCGGUGGCGAAGGCGUCCAACCAGAACGGCUCCGACGGUGAGGGACGAAGGCUAGGGGCGCAAACCGGAUUAGAUACCCGGGUAGUCCUAGCUGUAAACGCUG